AGGAACUGUGCAAUGUAUUAGUUUAAGCAAGACAAAGGAUUCGAUAGAAAAUUGUAUUAACGUCAAAUGUCUGUGAUGCGGGGAAAAAUUUUAAAUUUAACUCAAGCCUCAAGGACGGUAAAUCUCCCGUUCAACUAGUCCAAAUGCCAGCAGUGGUCAUUGAAAAAAGUGAACCGAAAAGCAGAUUAACCUCGUUUACCCAGCGCUUCCAAUAAAAAAGCCCAUUUUUUUCAUGGUGCUAACGAGAAGGCCAAGUCAAGUAAUGAUACGUUUAAAUUUUUUGUUUUGUAAAUAUAGGUGAAUAUUUAAUUUAUUGAAUAAAGUUAAUCAGAAGUUAACACGGAAAAUUAAAUUUGAUUGUCAG